UACGGAGGGGGCUAGCGUUGUUCGGAAUUACUGGGCGUAAAGCGCACGUAGGCGGCUUAGCAAGUCCCAUGUGAAAGCCCACGGCUUAACCGUGGAAGUGCAUGGGAAACUGCUGAGCUUGAGUACUUAAGAGGAUCGCGGAAUUCCCGGUGUAGAGGUGAAAUUCGUAGAUAUCAGGAGGAACACCAGUGGCGAAGGCGGCUUCCUGGACACCAACUGACGCUGAGACGCGAAAGCGUGGGGAGCAAACAGG
rnacentral:rRNA from 1 species